rnacentral:rRNA from 1 species
AUGGAACAUUUCUUCCUUGUCAAUCAUCCUGAUCAUCAUCUGAAAUAUCAGGAGUGUAAACUGAUACUAUUUCCAACUACAAAGUGUUGGCUGCCCAGGAAGAAGGAAAGAAGAUACACAAAUGUGGUUUUCCAGGGAGCAUCAGGUACAUCUUAUGUGAGGAUGAACCAUCAGCUAAAGGGAGUGAUAGGAAAAAAAUUUGUUGAAUGCAAUGGGAAGGCGAAAAACAACACGCCUUGGCGAAGCAACUCUAAGAUUCGGCAAGAACAAAUCAGACGGAACAAGUUUGCUACGGCUUACGGCUUUUUUGUUGAUCCCUUCCCUGUAGGUUCUGAUCAUACGUGCGAGGGGAAUCAGGUAGGGCUUGAUGCGCCUUUCAUACGAAAUGUUGAUGAGAAUUACCCAAGUAGUCCAGCAGCUAACUACUCCAUGAUCACAGCAGUAAACAUUGAUAAGAGUACAAGCAUUGGAGGAGUACUCACCACGUUCGAGGAAGUCGUCAUCAUGGUGGUGGUGGUCGAGGAAGUCGUAGGUGCUGGUGGCAUCAUCACGGAGCAGGCACCAUCUUCUCCUUGA